rnacentral:rRNA from 1 species
AUGAAACGAGUCAAGUGCCCAAGUCCACUUAUCUGCUUACUAAGGGUCCACCCAGGAACUGAGUAUUCUAGAAAAAAAACAAUAACUCGUCAGGGAUUCAGGAAAGCUCAACACAUGCAGAAGAAGCCAAGGAAACACACGGCCACGAGAACAGCAAGGGAAGCAAAGGAACCGAAGCUGAGGCACCCAAAGCGCCGGAAUUUGCCAUCUUCGCCGGCCAGCCCAAACACGGCCAAAAUUCAGGAGCAAGGCCGGUCUGCUCACCCCAUGAGCAGCUCCACCUAUGUUGGCCCGCGGCACCACGAGAACAUGAGUGAGAUGCCGAGAAUCGUAUGUGUCAGAGGAGGCGAGGCGGGAGAUGUAUUCAAUCAAUUGUACUAG